AUAUUUAUAAUCCCUGUGCCAAAAGUACUUCAUAAAUUAUAUAUCAGAAGUUCUGUCUUUUCCAGAGAAACAGCCUCUGAUACACAGCAUUGGGCACAGGCAGAUGAUUUGCUAAAGACAACAAAAUGAUUCCUUUGUAUUUUCUAAGGUCUCUGCUUCCCAGCUGGGAUGUUUGAAUGCUGCUCAGGGAAAUACUUUGAAAGAUGGAUAAAGAUUCAAUAAUAUUUCAAGUUGGAUUCAGCUGAAGGACUGUUCAGAUUCUGUCAUGUAACUGUGACUACUAAGAGACUUUAACUCUUUCCCAUUUUACCCCAUCAUCUGCAAUCAAGCUUUCUUCAGGUCACCCAACUAAGUGGUUAUAAAAGCUAUAAUGAAGCUUCAAGAGAGCACCACAUAUCUGGAGAAAAGAGCUGGGGAGGAGGUUGGAGUAAUGCAUUAUAAAGGACAUAUUUCAUACUCAGAAGGACAAGCAUUAUAGACUUAAAGCACAAGUAAGUGAAGGUUUGUGAGAACUCAAGAGGGGCUUGUAUGUCUAAAGGAUUGCCUACUUUUCACACAUAUAGCAGUUUAUUUCAUAUUUGCAAGCCUUCUUGCACAAUCUAAAGUCAGCAUGGGUACUGUAAUGUAGUUAAGAAUUGUUUUUAAUUAGAAAGGUUAUUUUACUGUUCCACUUUAAAACACCUUCAAAACAUUUCUUAAGCUAGCAGCCAUAAACAUGGUAAU
rnacentral:lncRNA from 1 species